UACGGAGGGUCCAAGCGUUAUCCGGAAUCAUUGGGUUUAAAGGGUCCGUAGGCGGUUUUGUAAGUCAGUGGUGAAAGCCCAUCGCUCAACGGUGGAACGGCCAUUGAUACUGCAAGACUUGAAUUAUUGGGAAGCAACUAGAAUAUGUAGUGUAGCGGUGAAAUGCUUAGAGAUUACAUGGAAUACCAAUUGCGAAGGCAGAUUGCUACCAAUACAUUGACGCUGAUGGACGAAAGCGUGGGGAGCGAACAGG
rnacentral:rRNA from 1 species